UCAGCUUUUUUUAGUGGUCCAGGUGCCUCAGCAAUUUUUGUGACUCAGCAAUUUUCAAUAUUUCAAGUUGCUAUUUCCCUUAUUUUCUGUAAAACUGGGUCCUCCCUUCUGACCUUGGCAUGCCAAAAAAGCAACUGAAAGCCUUCUAAGAGUUACAGGUACUGAGGAGAGGAGGUUGGGGCACAGUGAAAGGAGGUGAGAAAGAACUUCAGAUACUGCUGGGAAGUGUUUCUCCUGUAGCCCUGGAGGAACACUUGGAAGUGGAGUGGUGGAUGUGAGGAGGAGACAGCAUUCAGUUGAAUGGGAGCAUGAGGAACGCAGGACAUAAAUCCAUUGGCAUACAGCCUUUGUAGGCAAGCAGAUUUGGCAGAGCAAAUUGGGUUACCUCUUGACCUCUUUUUUGUUUCCUCCCCAGCAGGUUGGAAGUAAACCUUUCUAAAGAAAGUUCCUAGGCAAGACAAGGUUAACAUGAGAAGAGAGUAUCUGAGGAGGAAUUAUAUAGCUCUCCUUUGCUCUAGCCUACCUUAAGAGGCCAAACAUCACAGAAUCGUUUGUGCUAUAAAGGACCUCCUGCUAAAAAGUGUCUGUCAGGCUCCAGGUCACAGGGGAAGGUGCCUCCUAUCAGCUUCUUUCCGUAAUUCAGAAGGGUAAGUAUCAGCAAUGCCAGUCAAGGUAGGGGAGGAAGGUGUUCCCUUUGCUUCAGAAAUUCCUGUAAGAAGACUUCUCAGUGCCCCACAGGUGGAUGGCUCAGGCACAGUCUAGGAAUGUAUUCUUCCACUCUGGAUGAAGAGAAACCACUAUGGAUGUUAACCCGAAGUAUUUGCUCCCUUAUCUAUUCUAUAUGAAUUUUCAGGUGCCGGUGGUUGUGGCAGGCCAGCUCUAGAUCCAUAACUCCUCACAUAUACAGGUAUGAGGAAGGUUCAUACAAGAGCUGUAACUUGUAACAUUUAUGGCUGAACAGUACCAUUAGGAGUCCUCUGAAGCCUGGAAAGCAGCUUAGAAUCUUCACUGUCUGCUUCUGUCUUCCUCUGAUUCUUACAGUUAUCCUGUGAGUGGCUGAUGUGGGCUUGCUGGAUGUUCCAUAUAACAAAGAAUUUUUUACCCAAAAUCCCACGUCCCACCUAAGAACCUUUGGGAGACAUUUCUACUCCUCGCAUUUUCUGUAUGUUUUUAAUAAGGGUUGUGUGAUUUUGUGACCUCUGCUGCCUGCCUGCCUACCUGUCUCUGCUUCUGGAUCAAAGCAACAAUGCCAGCAUCACCACUAAAUGAAGGAGCCUGCAAGGAACUGUGAGGAUCUGAGGGACACGUUCCCAUACAUGAAGUCUGGCAAUCCUAGCCAUAUGUCUCAGAGUUCCUCCUGGUUGCUUCCAGUUAACAAGCUUUUGGUGCAGUGCAAAAACUUGUUAUUCUUUAUUGCACUUAGCAGUUAAAUUUUGACCCAUAGCUACCAUUCCAGCUAUUUUUUUGCUCUGACAUUGCCUCUCAAGUUGUUUAAUCAGAAAAUUUCAUUAGUGUACUUUGACUUUUGUGCCAAAAAAUUACGUUUAAUUUGUCUUGGGAAAGUGUUUUGAGGAAUGCCACCAGUAAAAUCCAUCCAGCCCAAUGACUUCCCAUUUGUCAUUUCCGCUUUUAGCUACUUUCAUUCUUGGCAUACAGUUCUUGCAGCUACUAAUUGUUUCCCAUGUGACAUCAUUCCAAGUGCUUUGCUAAAGUCCAGAGGGAAUAUAUCCCCCGGAUUUUUGUCAGGUUGACAAGCUGGUUUACCUGAUUAGGUAGUACAAUUAAUACUCUGACAUGUUCUACUUUGGGACUUUUCACUGUCCCCACUUUUCUUUAUAUCACAGUUUGCUAUGAUUCUUGUGUGCUUUUCUGGAAAAAAGAACAGGUAGACAGAUGUUUUCCAAAGAAGUACCUGAACAUUCUCAUACUCCAUCUGUCUGGAUGCAUCAUGAUGCACAUAAAAUUAACCAUUCUGUUAGAAGUACCUAAACAUCAGAGAAUGACCUGCCUCCCCAGUCCAGGUGGGAAGGAGAGAUGUUUGCUGCAAUCAGUUUAUUUAAAAAGCUCAGAAGUUAAUAAUCAUCCUGUCUUUUGUCACUGAUUAGUGACUUAUAAGAACCAGGCUUGGCUAAUAGAAAAUUGCCAUAAAUAGUAUAAGAACACAAGGAUGGAUUUAUUUAGACAGAAGAAUAUCACUCAUCAGACUUGGAGAAGAGGAAAGGCAGCAAGCAAGUCCAAUUGACAAAAUGUGGUGAAGUGAAUGGUCACAUCUGCAUUCAUUAGCAAAAUUGGGUGGUGCAAAGGUGUUGUCACCCAGUUCUGGUUUCCACAGGUCAUUGGGGGCCUGUCUCUUAGAAAGGCUCCUGACAAGGCAGGCAUGACAACCAGAUAAUGAAUGCUUUGAAGAACAUAAGAAGUUUCACUUUGCUUCAAUCCUUUGGGAUCACAGAAGAGAUACAGAUAAAGGUAAAAAUAAAAUUUUUCAAUUGUGCCACCAGUUUUAGAUGAAUUACACUGAUGGCACUUUGUGAUUCAUUCAUGAAGUGUGACAUCCUUUGGGAAGUACUUGGAUUAUGAUCUGUAUGCCCUGUUGGAUCGUAGAAACUCUAAGGAUAUCUUUAUCCCAUUUCAUGCCCUAUUUACCAUCAGUCACUCUGCCCAUCCUUUUUCAGGAAUCUUCCUGUGAUGGCAUGGUCUAGCUAAAGUUCUGAUUGUCUCUAUGUCUCAGAAGAGCAAAUGAUGUUUUGUUGCUAUUAUUUUCUGUCUUCUAAGAUAAUAUGUUGGCAUGCAACUCUCUGUUGAAACUACCAUGAAUCCUCACAACCAGGUUCUAAUUCUAGCCCUGAAUCUAUGGAAAAUUUCUCAUCCUCUAGAUGAUUUUUUCUACCUGUGUUUGCAGGCAGACAGUUCCAGUACCAGAAGUGUCCUUGUUAAGUGUUCUGCUGGUAGUACAGAAAUGCAUAACCACAAAACCAGUUUCAUUCCAAAGAGCCAUUCCUUGCUUAGGAACAUGGCUCUUAGGGCAGAUGUCUUCAACAGAGGUAUGGAGGCUUCAACCACUUAAUUCUUUCCAGAUUCAGGAAUUUUUUCUCCUCUGCAGUUUUUGAGAUAAAUCAAGGAAAAAAUUGUAGUUCCAACUUACAUUAUGGAAAUCUUCUUCACUCUGUCCUGAAAUAAUUCCCAAGCAGGCCUGUCAGAUCUCAGCUAUCUGAAAAUAACUUCUGACAUUUUCAAGAUUGUGUUCUGGGUAAAUAGCCUCAUUUGUGUAUGAAAUGCUUAUGAAAUUGUACCUCUACUGUAUACCAGAGAUAUGAUAUUAUUUAUGUCUGCUUUGCUAAUUUUACCUGGACAUAGGAGUCAUACCCUCUGUUCUCUUAGUGUUAGUUAAUGUGUUGACUAUCCUGUUACCAUUAAAUUUCUCUUCCUGGCACAUAGCAGGGGACAGCCCUUAAAAUCAUCUGCAUAUUCCAAGUGUGUAUUCUUUAUGGACAACUUCUUAUUAAUAUUGCUGUGUUGAAUGCUAGCUGUUACGUUGAAAGUCUUCCUCAUCACACUAAUGGCUUUACCGUCUUCUAUCAUUGUAGUAAACAUGACAGUGAUACUUCAUAUACAAUAAGGAAUAGAUACACUUAUAUUUGCAGGUUCUGGAUAUCAGGGGAAAUACUAUUUUUAGUACAAUAUUGCUGUAUAUUUUCUGUUGUAGAAAGUGACAGGGAGUUUCUGAAGAGGAAUUAUGCACAGGAAAGGAUAUCCUUGCCUCAAACAAAGUGAAAGCAUAAUCCCAGAAGUCUUCUCUGAGUGUUAGACAUCUGUCCAGUGUUUUUCUACUGUGCAUUUAAUUGAUCGCAAGGGUCAUCAAUAAUCUUUGCCAGGAUUACAUUAAUUCUAAUUGAACUCCCAAUCCCAAAUCUGAGAUCUUUCCAUUGUUUAUUCACAGAUGUGCUGUCUUGAAAGCAGUUGUGUCACAAAAUCACAGACUAUACACUGGAAAUGACACUUGGAGAAGGAAAGAAUUUAAUCCAAUUCUCUGCUCAAAGCAGGGCUGACUCUGGAGUUAGAUCAAGGUACUAAGGGUUAUUUGAUGUCUCAGGAUUAUGUGCUGUCUUGUAGCUAGUUCCUCAAGCUUAGAUAAGUCAGUACACAAGAUCAUUAUCUCUGGGAGCACUGGAGAAUUGGUACGUACUUAUCUGAAGUAUAGGUGGAAGUAUCAUCAUAUGUGUUGGUGCAAAGCUUGUUAGAAUAUACCAGGGGCUGUGGUAUUGAUAUCUCUGGACUUGACAUGCAUGCCCUAGAGAAAUAGUAUCCUUACAGUGCUUCAAGGAUUCACCUUUGUCCCUUUUCUGUGCAUUACUUAGAUAAAAAUAAAUGAAUCUUAGAAUAAGUCUCGAUUCUCACUUGAGGGCACCAGCAUUGGGAUCUGCAUGACACUGACUGGAUUCAUCUGUCUUGCCAGGAGGCUCUAUUCAGCCUGCAGUAUUUUUAAGGAAGUGGAAGGUCAUGGUGAAGUCUCAGUCUUUACCUGAGCAGGGCCUGUUCAAUGAAUACUCAUUGAAAGUGAAGAAAAUCUAGAGAACUCUAUUUGCUUUUCCCACCACAGAUGAAGGAGCGGGCUCCUAGUGAAAGUAUGGAUGGAACAGGAUUUCCAAGAGGUAUUUGAAGAGGAGAGAUGAGGAGCUACUUCUGGGUGAACUGGUCAACCAUACCCCCUUUUGAUGCUUCACUGACAGAAGGGCUUUGGCAUUGGGAAGGCAGCCAUGCAGUGGGGCAUGAGUGGUAGUCACAUCUCUUUCCACCUCCACCCAGCAAAGCAAGAGCCACAGUCAUGUUUGUACAAACUCACCAGCAAAGGAAUGGGCUGGUUCCGAGCCCAGUCCAGUCCAGUCCACAACAAGAGAAUCAACCCUCCAGUAGACUUCAAACAGUCCACACAAUUAUUGCUUUUCAGCCCAGUCAGUAUUUCUAAUUCUCUAAAGAAGGGCUACUAACAUUUGGAAAGUCUCUGCACGCAAGGUCUUUCCAAACAUUCGAUUCUGAUUUCCCUUGGUCUGGAAAUCAUUUUAGAUGUGCCAGCUGGGACUGAGCCCCUGGGCUGAUUCCAGCACCUGUGCCAAUUCCAGCACCUAUGCCUUGUUCUAUGUCAAAGUGAGCUAGCUGAGCCUGUGGGACACUAUAGUGUGCCCUGACGCAGGUGGUGCUUGGAAAGGUGCUGCCGGACUUCUGCAAGGAGCUGGAAAACAACAGUGUCAGAGCUGAGUGGUUUCCAGUCCUUCGGAUGUUUAUUUCCUGAUAACAGAUCCUGCCAUCAAAACUAGCACUGAUCAAACUUCAGACAGAAGACUCUGAAUGACUUCAGCAACAGCUGGACUUACAAAGGUCUGAAAUGACUGAAAUUUUCUUGUAAAAUGAAAAAAAUGAGCCACUUACUUGUAGAAUAUUUUCUCUCCUUUUCUUGAUAUUAUUAGAUUUGGCAGUGAAUAAGA